UUCAAAUACCAGUAUUCUGCUUGCUGCCAUGUGUUCUCCAUUUCUUAAUUUCUAUCAUCUAGAAAACAAGUCUCAUUCUUUUGAUUCUGUGAACUUGCAGACGCCUCAUUAUGUAUGCUCUAACUAUGACACCCACUUUUCUUCAUCAAUCCUGGAACCAUUACCACCAUUAUCUUAACCUAAUAAAGAUAGUGGAGUGACCUUUCUUGUUGUACUCCUUUUAGCAUGCGCGUUAAUCUCACAGUGAACCCAAAAGUCCUUAUAUAUUUAUACAUGAUUUUCAUACAACAAUAGUGAGUUUUUAUCUUCAACCAUUGUACCCACUUUGAUGAAUUUCUUCAAAAGAUGGUGCUUCUUGUUUUCUCCGAUAUGUCCUGCAAAGGUGUGCAGGUUAUCAAGGAGCAACCACAACAAAGUCUCAAAAGAAGAACCUUGAAGACCUCCAAGAAAGAUAUGAGUUGGUUUUGGGAGAAAACAAGGCUUUUGAAUAAAAGUUUGGGAAUUGAGAGAAUAUUGAAGCAAUUUGAGAAGAACCUAUUUGAGUUCUUUGUUGGAAUCCUCCAGCAGUUGCAAUUAAAGCUGAUAGAGGAGGAUGAACUUAUAUCAAAGCUCCAAAAAGAAAGUUGGCUCUACCAUGAAGAGUGGACCAGUGGACCAGUCUCUACUCAAGAAGAAGAAUCUAUUAGAAUGGAAUGUAUGAGCAUCCAUGAAAGAGUGGCCGUAGUUGUUUGUUGUGUUUUUAUAUGUGUCAGAUUCAAUUCAGAACAUAAAACAUGUCACCUUAUUCAUUAUUUGAUGGAUACUCUUUUCUGCUUCUGCAUUCUCAUUCAAAAGCAAUGGCAAUAGAAUCUAUAUUGAGCAACUUAAAACAUAUACACACCUUGUACCUUUGCAGCCAUAUCUUCACAUCAGGUGCACCCUCGUGACUCCCUCCGUAAUAUGCAACUAAUAGAUGGUUGGGCUCAAUCUGUAGAAAUAGUCCAGAAUAUCUGUAGUCAGAAAUGGGAAAAAUACUAGCUAUUGUAAUGUUUGUAGCCCUCAAAUUUGUUGUGGAUACCAGAUUCUUUGUAGACAGAUUAAUGGCAAAUCGUAGUCAGAAGCAAUAGUAGAGGCUUAUGGAAUAAAUGACAUGAAUAGAUUUUAAAAUG